AGAGUUUGAUCCUGGCUCAGGACGAACGCUGACGGUGUGCUUUAGACAUGCAAGUCGAACGAGAAAGCCCUUCGGGGUGAGUACAGUGGCGAACGGGUGAGUAACACGUGGGUAACCUGCCCCUCGCAGAGGGACAACCGGGGGAAACUCCGGCUAAUACCUCGUACGCUUGCCGGGCCGCAUGGCACCGGCAAGGAAAGGUAGCUUCGGCCAUCCGGCGAGGGAUGGGCCCGCGGUCCAUUAGCUAGUUGGUGGGGUAACGGCCUACCAAGGCGACGAUGGAUAGCUGGUCUGAGAGGAUGAUCAGCCACACUGGGACUGAGACACGGCCCAGACUCCUACGGGAGGCAGCAGUCGGGAAUCUUGCGCAAUGGGCGAAAGCCUGACGCAGCAACACCGUGUGGGCGACGAAGGCCUUCGGGUCGUAAAGCCCUGUUGUUGGGGACGAAGGACGAAGGGUUAAUAGCCCCUAGUCUGACGGUACCCUUCGAGGAAGCCCCGGCUAACUACGUGCCAGCAGCCGCGGUAAUACGUAGGGGGCGAGCGUUGUCCGGAAUUAUUGGGCGUAAAGAGCGUGUAGGCGGUUCGGUAAGUCUGCUGUGAAAUCCUGGGGCUCAACCCCGGGCGUGCAGCGGAUACUGCCGGGCUAGAGGGUGGUAGAGGCGAGUGGAAUUCCCGGUGUAGCGGUGAAAUGCGCAGAUAUCGGGAGGAACACCAGUAGCGAAGGCGGCUCGCUGGGCCGUUCCUGACGCUGAGACGCGAAAGCUAGGGGAGCGAACAGGAUUAGAUACCCCGGUAGUCC
rnacentral:rRNA from 1 species